AGAGAAAAACCGAGAGACCGGGCAGAGGAAUUUCAGCUAAGAGAGAAACAAAAGUUGAAUGCUCAGGCUCCAUGGAGCAUCCUUGCGUUUCCCGGGGAAAAGCGGAUCCUGGAGUGCGCCUGACCUCUCAGCUCUUGAGGAGAAGGAAAUAGCGGAAGCAGGAGGAAAGCCAGGUCCAGUCUCUUUCCUUAGGCUCCCCGAAGGGCAAGCACUCACCGCCCAAAGAUCUGGCACAGCGUCCUCACCGCAGCACCACCCCCUCCCGACGCCCACGACCACUUCUCUCCAACCCGGCGUUCUCCGGGAUUUCCAAAGACACACGUUUAGAUCCACAGAGCUGGAAGGAAGACAGCUGUUCCUAGAUCACACCAGAAUGGAGAAGCAAGCUCCUCCCACCAGCAGAAAGCCUUUGCUUUCCGUGCCUGGAUUCGGAAGAUUAGUUAAGCACUGAAAAAGUGGGGGGAACAACAACUCGUUUUUGCUUAUUAGAAAGAAAAAAACACAUUAAUGAACCCAAGUAAUACACUCAACUCUGCAACUCUGUAGAUUUCCACCUAUUCCUACCCUCCACAGUCUCCCAUCCCACCAGCAACACACAUGACAUAUCUGAUGCCUUCCCAUCAGUAACUCUGGCUUAGUAUGGGUAAGCAAAAAAUUUCCAACAAUGGAUGAAAAUUGUGGAGAGAUAGAGUGGGAAAGGUCAAGGAACAUUGAUAGGGAUUGUUAAUUAAAAAUCCACCAAACAUCUCUUUUCUCUCCCUAAUGUGUGAGUAACAAUAACAUCACUCAAAGCAGUUGGCAGCCACAGCUUGAAGAAAUACAGUA